rnacentral:rRNA from 1 species
UGGGGAAUAUUGCACAAUGGGCGAAAGCCUGAUGCAGCGACGCCGCGUGAGGGAUGACGGCCUUCGGGUUGUAAACCUCUUUCAGCAGGGAAGAAGCGAAAGUGACGGUACCUGCAGAAGAAGCGCCGGCUAACUACGUGCCAGCAGCCGCGGUAAUACGUAGGGCGCAAGCGUUGUCCGGAAUUAUUGGGCGUAAAGAGCUCGUAGGCGGCUUGUCACGUCGGAUGUGAAAGCCCGGGGCUUAACCCCGGGUCUGCAUUCGAUACGGGCUAGCUAGAGUGUGGUAGGGGAGAUCGGAAUUCCUGGUGUAGCGGUGAAAUGCGCAGAUAUCAGGAGGAACACCGGUGGCGAAGGCGGAUCUCUGGGCCAUUACUGACGCUGAGGAGCGAAAGCGUGGGGAGCGAACAGGAUUAGAUACCCCCGUAGUCC